AGCGGAGGAAAAGAAACCAACAGGGAUUGCCUCAGUAACGGCGAGUGAAGCGGCAACAGCUCAAAUUUGAAAUCUGGCCCUUUCAGGGUCCGAGUUGUAAUUUGUAGAGGAUGUUUCGGGUGUGGCUCCGGUCUAAGUUCCUUGGAACAGGACGUCAUAGAGGGUGAGAAUCCCGUAUGUGACUGGAAGCCUUCGUCCAUGUGAAACUCCUUCGACGAGUCGAGUUGUUUGGGAAUGCAGCUCAAAAUGGGUGGUAAAUUUCAUCUAAAGCUAAAUACUGGCCAGAGACCGAUAGCGCACAAGUAGAGUGAUCGAAAGAUGAAAAGCACUUUGGAAAGAGAGUUAAAAAGUACGUGAAAUUGUUGAAAGGGAAGCGCUUGCAACCAGACUUGCUCGCGGUUGCUCAGCCGGUGUUCUCACCGGUGCACUCUUCCGCGAUCAGGCCAGCAUCGGUUUGGGCGGCUGGAUAAAGGCCUCGGGAAUGUGGCUCCUCUCGGGGAGUGUUAUAGCCCGAGGUGCAAUGCAGCCCGCCCGGAUCGAGGACCGCGCUUCGGCUAGGAUGCUGGCGUAAUGGUUGUAAGCGACCCGUCUUGAAACACGGACCAAGGAGUCUAACAUCUAUGCGAGUGUUUGGGUGUCAAACCCAUGCGCGUAAUGAAAGUGAACGGAGGUGGGAACCCUGAAGGGUGCACCAUCGACCGAUCCUGAAGUCUUCGGAUGGAUUUGAGUAAGAGCAUAGCUGUUGGGACCCGAAAGAUGGUGAACUAUGCCUGAAUAGGGUGAAGCCAGAGGAAACUCUGGUGGAGGCUCGCAGCGGUUCUGACGUGCAAAUCGAUCGUCAAAUUUGGGUAUAGGGGCGAAAGACUAAUCGAACCAUUAACUACUAGGUGGUUAA
rnacentral:rRNA from 1 species